rnacentral:tRNA from 1 species
GUGGGUAUAGCUCAAGAGGUAGAGUACCAGACUGUGGAUCUGGCCGUUGCGGGUUCAAGUCCCGUUACCCACC